UACGUAGGGUGCAAGCGUUGUCCGGAAUUAUUGGGCGUAAAGAGCUCGUAGGCGGUUUGUCGCGUCUGCUGUGAAAACUCGGGGCUUAACUCCGGGCCUGCAGUGGGUACGGGCAGACUAGAGUGCGGUAGGGGAGACUGGAAUUCCUGGUGUAGCGGUGGAAUGCGCAGAUAUCAGGAAGAACACCCGUGGCUAAGGCGGUUCUCUAGUACGGUACUGACGCUGAGACGCGAAAGCGUGGGGAGCGAACAGG
rnacentral:rRNA from 1 species